rnacentral:tRNA from 1 species
AAACCCAUAGCUCAGAGGAUUAGAGCAAUGGCCUCCAGAGCCAUGUGCGUAGGUUCGAAUCCUACUGGGGGUA